GGACCGAGGUCAGUAGAAGAUGGGGAAGAAAGCAGCCUUGUCUCACAUUGCUACAGUUUCCACGAGUUGGUCGGAAAACUGGGACUGAAAUUGGCAUCGAACUGUUAUGGAAUGUUUUUGCCAGGUGGUGAGAGAUUUGCUCCAGCUGUGAACACGUCUUAAACAAUGUGAGACAUUUUGGCAGUGACUCAACCGUGCACGAGAAGAUUGAAUACGUUCUCCAUCAAUGACGUCAGACUCGUGUUCCACAGCGGCUGCAUCCAUGUCAAGAUUACAUGUCGCAUGUCAGAGUUCGUCUGCUAGUAAAUUUACAGGGUUAACAUUUAAUAUGAAGUGUAAUGUUUGCUUUGGGUUGUAAUGUUCUCCAUCAGAACGUGUAUCAAAUGAAAAGUCGGAUGUAAGGAGUAUUUUUUCACGAAAUGUCUCACUUAAAAAAGACUAAGGCCGCGUUCACAACCAGUUAAUCUGCAGACUAUAAAAUAGAAAACCUUAAUUGAAAGCAAGUUAAUUGCUUAACCCUGUGGGACGAGUGGGAGGCGGGGAAUCCAUUGUCAAGUAUGCGCCAUAUUUGAUCCACGGACUAGAUAAACCGCGGAUCAACUGGUUGUGAUCGCGGUCUAAUACUUUACUAAUAAGCGUUAGAUCUGUAUGUCGUUGGUUUGCUACUAUACAUAUAUGCAUGUACUCGGUAUGUAUGUUAGCGGAGACGGCGGCAUUGUUCAGUCGAGGAAGAAAAUGCGAUGCGUAUCUACUAAAAGAAAUUGGAUAAUUCGCAGUAAUUGGAAUAAUAGUCUUGCAGAUAUUGUCGCAUUAUCAAAAUAUAUCAACAAUACUGCGUAUCUGUCCAUGCGUAUAGUCUUUCUAAAAUUUCAAAAUGUGAUUGUGACGCAUAUUAAAAAUAAACUUGGUAUUCUAAUAUCAAGUCUGAUGUGUCAGGCCACAUUUUUAGAGAUGAGGAUCAAAAGUCACCCUGGUUUUGGAAACAACCAGGGAGUGGAGAUUCCCAGUAAUUAAUGUAUGCAUUUGUUAUUGCAAUAGUAAAGGAAAAGUCAAAGGAAAUCAUUGAAUUAUAGAAAAUGAUUUAUUUCGCGAUCGGUAUAUUAUCUUCAUUAAGGGGUUUAUGUAGGACUAACAUUCAUCAGAAACUUUU